rnacentral:rRNA from 1 species
CCUACGGGUGGCUGCAGUGGGGAAUAUUGGACAAUGGGCGAAAGCCUGAUCCAGCCAUGCCGCGUGUGUGAAGAAGGCCUUCGGGUUGUAAAGCACUUUCAGUGGGGAAGAAAGCCUUGGGGCUAAUACCCUCGAGGAAGGACAUCACCCACAGAAGAAGCACCGGCUAACUCCGUGGCCAGCAGCCGCGGUAAUACGGAGGGUGCGAGCGUUAAUCGGAAUUACUGGGCGUAAAGCGCGCGUAGGCGGUCUGAUAAGCCGGUUGUGAAAGCCCCGGGCUCAACCUGGGAACGGCAUCCGGAACUGUCAGGCUAGAGUGCAGGAGAGGAAGGUAGAAUUCCCGGUGUAGCGGUGAAAUGCGUAGAGAUCGGGAGGAAUACCAGUGGCGAAGGCGGCCUUCUGGACUGACACUGACGCUGAGGUGCGAAAGCGUGGGUAGCAAACAGGAUUAGAUACCCUAGUAGUC